ensembl:lncRNA
CCGCCACUCAGUUCCCGGUAAGCGGUCUUCACCAGGAGGUCAGAUGGAGCUCCCCCGUCCAGAGUACCACGUCCUGGUCUUCCUCCUGUCUCUCUGUCUCUCCACCCCAGGGGAUUUCAAGCAGGGGCUACGGAAUGUGUUCUCUCUUCAGGACCAGGUGAUGAGUUGGACUGAAGCCCAGUUUACUUGCAAGACUACAAAUGGUACGGGCCAGCACCGUUUAGCUAACGUCAGGAACACCUCCGAGGUGAAGAUGUUGUCUCGUGUCUGUAACGACAUACCUGAUAAUGAUCUCAACGAGGCUAAAUGUUUUGUCGGUCUUCGCAAGCGAGGCAAUACUUGGAACAGGACGGACGGGGAGGAGAACGUCCUACCCUUGCAGCCCAUGGACAAGAAUGAGAGGGACGAGAGGGACGUGAAGAAGGAGAAUGACAAGGAGAAGAAUGACAAAGACGACAAGGACGACAAGGCCAAGGACGACAAGGCCAAGGACGACAAGGACAAGGACGACAAGGCCAAGGACGACAAGGACGACAAGGCCAAGGACGACAAGGACGACAAGGCCAAGGACGACAAGGCCAAGGACGACAAGGACGACAAGGCCAAGGACGACAAGGCCAAGGACAACAAGGCCAAGGACGACAAGGCCAAGGACGACAAGGCCAACAAGGACAAGGACGACAAGGACGACAAGGCCAAGGACGACAAGGACAAGAAGGACGAGAAGGACGAGAAGGACGAAUGUGCUAUUGUCUAUCAGGACAAUCUGCACAUACAUCCUUGCAAUGAUAAACUGGCCCAUAUUUGUGAGAAGUACUUUUUCGUGUUGGUGAAGGAGGAGAAGUCUUGGGAGGAAGCUCUGCUCCACUGCAG